rnacentral:rRNA from 1 species
AUUGAACGCUGGCGGAAUGCUUUACACAUGCAAGUCGAGCGGCAGCGCGGGGCAACCUGGCGGCGAGCGGCGAACGGGUGAGUAAUGCAUCGGAACAUGUCCAGUCGUGGGGGAUAGCCCGCCGAAAGGCGGAUUAAUACCGCAUACGCCCGGGAGGGGAAAGCGGGGGACCUGCAAGGGCCUCGCGCGAUUGGGUUGGCCGAUGUCCGAUUAGCUAGUUGGUGGGGUAAAGGCCCACCAAGGCGAUGAUCGGUAGCUGGUCUGAGAGGAUGAUCAGCCACACUGGGACUGAGACACGGCCCGGACUCGUACGGGAGGCAGCAGUGGGGAAUUUUGGACAAUGGGGGCAACCCUGAUCCAGCCAUUCCGCGGGAGUGAAGAAGGCCUUCGGGUUGUAAAGCUCUUUUGUCCGGAGCGAAACGGUUGUGGUGAAUAUCCACGACUACUGACGGUACCGGAAGAAUAAGCACCGGCUAACUACGUGCCAGCCGCCGCCGUAA